rnacentral:rRNA from 1 species
GACAGAGGUGCCGAGCGUUAGGCGGAAUCACUGGGCUUAAAGCGUGUGUAGGCGGGUCGUUAAGUGCCUUGUGAAAUCCCACGGCUCAACCGUGGAACUGCUGGGCAUACUGCCGAUCUUGAGCCAGCUAGAGGCAACCGGAACAAACGGUGGAGCGGUGAAAUGCGUAGAUAUCGUUUGGAACGCCAAUGGUGAAAACAGGUUGCUGGGGCUGUGCUGACGCUGAGACACGAAAGCCAGGGGAGCGAACGGG